AGGACACGUAAAAUUUCAAAGGUCGAACAGACCUAAUAUUUCAGCUUCUUCACCAAAAAUUUAUUUUAAUCCAACAUCGAGGUCGCAAACUCCUUCAUCGAUAAGAACUCUCCGAAAAAAUUACGCUGUUAUCCCUAAGGUAAUUUAAUCUUAUGAUCCAAAAAUCAGGAUCACAUAUUCAUAAAUAAAUGUUAUAAAAUAUAAAAAGUUAAUUAAAUUUUUAUGUCACCCCAACAAAAUAGUAUAAAAACUGAACUUAAAUAAAACCUAAAAGAAACAAUAUUAACACUAUUAAACUCUAUAGGGUCUUCUCGUCUUCUUAAAACAUUUAAGCUUUUUCACUCAAAAUUAAAAUUCUAAAACAAUUUUACCGAGACAGUCAUUUUUUCAUCAAACCCUUCAUUCCAGCUCUCAAUUAAAAAACUAAUGAUUAUGCUACCUUUGCACAGUCAAAAUACUGCGGCCAUUCAAAUUCAUCAUCGGGCAGGCCGGACCUUAAAUCAA
rnacentral:rRNA from 1 species